rnacentral:rRNA from 1 species
CAANGGGCGCAAGCCUGAUGCAGCGACGCCGCGUGAGGGAUGACGGCCUUCGGGUUGUAAACCUCUUUCAGUAGGGAAGAAGCGAAAGUGACGGUACCUGCAGAAGAAGCACCGGCUAACUACGUGCCAGCAGCCGCGGUAAUACGUAGGGUGCGAGCGUUAUCCGGAAUUAUUGGGCGUAAAGAGCUCGUAGGCGGUUUGUCGCGUCUGUCGUGAAAGUCCGGGGCUUAACCCCGGAUCUGCGGUGGGUACGGGCAGACUAGAGUGCAGUAGGGGAGACUGGAAUUCCUGGUGUAGCGGUGGAAUGCGCAGAUAUCAGGAGGAACACCGAUGGCGAAGGCAGGUCUCUGGGCUGUAACUGACGCUGAGGAGCGAAAGCAUGGGGAGCGAACAGGAUUAGAUACCCUGGUAGUCCAUGCCGUAAACGUUGGGCACUAGGUGUGGGGACCAUUCCACGGUUUCCGCGCCGCAGCUAACGCAUUAAGUGCCCCGCCUGGGGAGUACGGCC